rnacentral:rRNA from 2 species
AACGAACGCUGGCGGCAGGCCUAACACAUGCAAGUCGAACGCCCUAGCAAUAGGGAGUGGCAGACGGGUGAGUAACACGUGGGAACCUUCCCUAUAGUACGGAAUAGCUCAGGGAAACUUGAAGUAAUACCGUAUACGCCCGAGAGGGGAAAGAUUUAUCGCUAUAGGAUGGGCCCGCGUCGGAUUAGCUAGUUGGUGAGGUAAUGGCUCACCAAGGCGACGAUCCGUAGCUGGUUUGAGAGAACGACCAGCCACACUGGGACUGAGACACGGCCCAGACUCCUACGGGAGGCAGCAGUGGGGAAUAUUGGACAAUGGGCGCAAGCCUGAUCCAGCCAUGCCGCGUGAGUGAUGAAGGCCUUAGGGUUGUAAAGCUCUUUUAGCAGGGAAGAUAAUGACUGUACCUGCAGAAUAAGCUCCGGCUAACUUCGUG